UACGUAGGGGGCAAGCGUUGUCCGGAAUCAUUGGGCGUAAAGAGCGUGUAGGCGGCUCGAUAAGGUCUGCCUGUGAAAGUCCAGGGCUCAACCCUGGAAGGCCGGUGGAAACUGUCGGGCUAGAGUCCGGAAGAGGCGAGUGGAAUUCCCGGUGUAGCGGUGAAAUGCGCAGAUAUCGGGAGGAACACCAAUGGCGAAGGCAGCUCGCUGGGACGGUACUGACGCUGAGACGCGAAAGCGUGGGGAGCAAACAGGG
rnacentral:rRNA from 1 species